rnacentral:rRNA from 1 species
CCCGCACAAGCGGCGGAGCAUGCGGAUUAAUUCGAUGCAACGCGAAGAACCUUACCAAGGCUUGACAUACACCGGUAACGCCCAGAGAUGGGUGCCCCUUUGUGGUCGGUGUACAGGUGGUGCAUGGUUGUCGUCAGCUCGUGUCGUGAGAUGUUGGGUUAAGUCCCGCAACGAGCGCAACCCUCGUCCUAUGUUGCCAGCGGGUCAUGCCGGGGACUCAUGGGAGACUGCCGGGGUCAACUCGGAGGAAGUGGGAUGACGUCAAAUCAUCAUGCCCCUUAUGUCUUGGGCUUCACGCAUGCUACAAUGGCCGGUACAAAGGGCUGCGAUACCGCGAGGUGGAGCGAAUCCCAGAAAGCCGGUCUCAGUUCGGAUUGGGGUCUGCAACUCGACCCCAUGAAGUCGGAGUCGCUAGUAAUCGCAGAUCAGCAACGCUGCGGUGAAUACGUUCCCGGGCCUU